AUUGAACGCUGGCGGCAGGCUUAACACAUGCAAGUCGAGCGAGAGGCGGACGGGUGAGUAAUGUCUGGGAAAAUGCCUGAUGGAGGGGGCUAACUACUGGAAAAGGUAGCUAAUACCGCAUAACAUCCGAUGUGCCCAGAUGGGAUUAGCUAGUAGGUGGGGUAAUGGCUCACCUAGGCGACGAUCCCUAGCUGGUCUGAGAGGAUGACCAGCCACACUGGAACUGAGACACGGUCCAGACUCCUACGGGAGGCAGCAGUGGGGAAUAUUGGACAAUGGGCGCAAGCCUGAUGCAGCCAUGCCGCGUGUGUGAAGAAGGCCUUCGGGUUGUAAAGCACUUUCGGCAGGGAAGCGGUACUCGCAGAAGAAGCACCGGCUAACUCCGUGCCAGCAGCCGCGGUAAUUC
rnacentral:rRNA from 1 species